rnacentral:lncRNA from 1 species
GGGUUGACGCGCGACGGUUGCAUUGCACAGGUCGAGGUGGAACGGUUGCAUUGCAUGGUUUGAGGUGUGACGGUUGUGUUGCAAGGGUUGAGACAAUGGUUGCACUGCACAGGCUGAGGCGUGACGGUUGCAUUGCAUGGGUUGAAGUGCAGUGUUGCAUUGUAAGGGUUGAGAUGACGGCUGCGCUGCACGGGUUGACACACGACAGUUACAUUACAUGGGUCGAGGUGUGACGCUUGCGUUGCAUGGGUUGAGACAAUGGUUGCACUGCACAGGUUGAGGUGUGAUGGUUGCAUUGCAUGAGUUGAGGGAUGACGGUUGCGUUGCAUGGGUUGAAGUGCGGCAUUGUGUUGUAAGGUUGAGACGAUGGUUGCGUUGCACGGGUUGAGGCACGACAGUUGUGUUGCAUGGGUUGAAGCGCGGCAGUUGUGUUGUAAGGGUUGAGACGACGGUUGCGUUGCACAGGUUGAGGCGCGAUGGUUGUGUUGUAUGGGUUGAAGCGACAUUUGUGCUGCACAGGUUGAGGCACAACGGUUGCAUUGCACAGUUUGGCAUGUGCCAGUUGUGUUGCGUGGUUUGGGCUGCAACGGUUGUGUUGCACGGUUUGAGCUGUGCCAGCUGUGAUGCACGGUUUGGGGUGCGAAGGCUGUGCUGCAUGGUUGGGGGUGUGCAGCUGUGCUGCAUGGUUCAGUGUGGCUGUGCUGCAUGGUUCAGGGUGUGCCAUCUGUGCUGCAUGGUUCAGGGUGUGCGGUGCGGCUGUGUUGCACAGUACGGGGUGUGCAGCUGUGCUGCAUGGUUCGGGGUGUGCAGCUAUGCAGCAUGGUUUGGGGUGUGCCAGCUGUGCUGCAUGGUUUGGGGUGUACGACUGUGCCACACAGUUCAGGGUGUGUGGUGCAGCUGUGUUGCACGUUUUGGGGUGUGCGGCUGUUUUGCAUGGCACGGGGUGUGUGGCUGUGCUGCACUGUUCAGGCUGUGUGGCUGUGCUGCACAGUUCAGGGUGUGUGGUGCAGCUGUGUUGCACCUUUUGGGGUGUGCCGGCUGUGCUGCACGGUUCAGGGUGUGCGGUGCAGCUGUGCUGCACAGUGCAGGGUGUGUGUCUGUGCUGCACAGCGCAGGGUGUGCCGGCUGUGUUGCAUGUUUCGGGGUGUGCAGUGCGGCUGUGCUGCACGGUGCCGGGUGUGCGGCGAUACUCCGGCGGGGAACGGUGUUGGGACGCGGGGGACGUGCCGGCUGCUGUGCCAUGAGGGCUGGAGGGGGCCGACUGUCGCGGCCCCCGGGCCCGGGCA